rnacentral:rRNA from 1 species
UACGGAGGGUGCGAGCGUUGUCCGGAAUCACUGGGCGUAAAGGGCGCGUAGGCGGCCUGAUAAGUAGGGGGUGAAAUCCUGCGGCUUAACCGCAGGGCUGCCUUCUAAACUGUCGGGCUCGAGCACGGUAGAGGCAGGUGGAAUUCCCGGUGUAGCGGUGGAAUGCGUAGAGAUCGGGAAGAACAUCAGUGGCGAAGGCGG